GUUUAAUUCGAUGCAACGCGAAGAACCUUACCUGGUCUUGACAUCCACAGAACUUAGCAGAGAUGCUUUGGUGCCUUCGGGAACUGUGAGACAGGUGCUGCAUGGCUGUCGUCAGCUCGUGUUGUGAAAUGUUGGGUUAAGUCCCGCAACGAGCGCAACCCUUAUCCUUUGUUGCCAGCGGUCAGGCCGGGAACUCAAAGGAGACUGCCAGUGAUAAACUGGAGGAAGGUGGGGAUGAC
rnacentral:rRNA from 1 species